UGGAUCACCUAGUAGUACGUCCACUGAUUGAAGUUAGGGAAGGUUUAUUCUGGAUUACGGAAACUCAUGCAUAGUUAGAUUAGCUUCGUAGAUGUGUAAAUUUUCGAUAUGUCCAAUGCCAAGCAUUUAAGUUGUCUUCUGCAUGCUCUGCAGAAGUAGUGGGGCAUUGCCUGUAGAUUGCGAUAAAUUUUACUCUAUUCUGUCAACGACGAAGUAUCAGCAGCAAUUACUUGCUGCUUUCAUAGGCAAUAAAUUAACUGUAAAUUUCUUGUUUUUAUAGCGAACCCGUGUUCCCCUAUUUGCAUGGGUACGUUCUCUCUUCUGGUCCUGCACUCCUUAAGUACCCAGACAUAGAUUUGAAAGGAUCACAGGCCUCGAGCCACCGCAGAACCACAAAAGGAAUUGCUCCGCAAGAGUAACUUCUCCUCGACUUUCAUUACAGGAAGAUGCAAAUCUACCGAGUAAUUAGUGUCAGGUCGAUCCGGAGGAAGAGCCAAUCUGUGACCAUUCCUAUGACCACCCAAUGCUCCUGUGCCGCCCAGAUUGGAGCCAGGACGAUCGUUUAUUAGGAAUAUUUCCAACACCAGCACUCCCGCGACCCCCUCCGGAGCCUUUUCUGCGGACACCCAUCGACAGCUAUUCCGUUUGGCUAAAUUGCACAAGAGAAAUGACAGAUCAUCAGGUCAGUGUCCAUAGUAAUGAACGGAAGAUAAACUGUCCUCGAAAAAAAAAUGUUUUCUUGAACUUGUCUGAGAAGAUGUUAAUGCCAUGCAAAAAAAGUUUUAACCACAGCGCUCAGGCACAUUGAACAAUAUAUUACUAAAUCUUGAACGAUCAGGGCGAUCAUACUAAUUCUACAAUG